ACUAUUUUACAGAUGCGUAAAUACACGAAGCCAGCAAGACUCACCGUUUUACCAACCAUCCUAUUAGUUGACAGAGCUCCAACCCAAGUAGAAUUGUCAAAAAGGUUGAAAGCACAUUAAGAGGAAUGUAAUUCUCAUACCACAUAUAAAUGAACAUUGAAGACAUCGCACUUUUUGAAAUAAGCCAGAAAUCACACGCAAAAAGCACUUGUGGUUUCAUGUAUAUGCAAUACCUAGGAUAAUGAAAUUCAUAGAGACAUAAAGUAGAAUGGUAGUUGCCAGGGACUGGGGGAGGGGGAAAUGGGGCAUUAGUGUUUAAUGGGUACAGAGUUUCUGUUUGGGAAGAUAAAAAAGUUCUGGAGGUGGAUAGUGGUGAUGGUUGCACAACAGUGUGAAUGUACUUGAUGCCACUGUACACUUAAAAGUGGUUUAAAUGGGAAAUUUAUGGUAUGUAUAUUUUACCACAAUUUUUUUAAAGGGUUAAAAAUAGAGCUAUGCCAGAAUGCCCUCUUUAAAAGAAGGGAAUUUAUUUCAUAGGGGCACUUUCUCUGAGGUUUCAGUGGGCUUUCUCAGCUGCAGAAGCAGUAGAUAUUAGUACAAUAAGUCUUUUGAUUUUCACAGCCCAAUAAAGUAAACAAAUAAAAGUAUUAACUUAGGAUUUCCAGCUUUUUUAUUUUCUUUUUACCAAGUAAAUUUCUUAAAAACAAAUGCGCACAAUUACUAUCUAUAGUCACUAUCAUUCUUUUGAGACCAAAAGAAAAAGGUCUCAAAAGAUAUAUUUUAUACCGAAAUUGUUUGCUUGAUGAAAAACCUCACUACCAUCCUUUUGCUUUUUUUUUAGCAUUGAAAAAACUUUUGUCAUGUCCCCUUUACUCUAAUAACCAUCUUACCAUAGUCAGAUUAUAACAAAUCAGGGUAUGCAACGUGUCAAAGUCCUAGGCAGCCAUUCUUCCCUUUAUAUCUCUUUUAUAACCUGGCAAAUGUUGGUUUUAAAAGGCACAGAGUGAUGAUAGCUUGAAUCUGGCUUUUUAAACAGAGGCCAGACAGGCAGAAAAAAGAGAAGGCUGAACAGUUUCUGUGGGAACACUGUGUUUAAAUUUAAGCUCAAAUUUCAGAGAGAAGAAAGCCCCUAAAGAGUUGAAGUGGAGGUGGGGGAAGAGAUUAACAGGGAAGAGGUGAGGACUUUCUCUAAAGUUCCAAAAUUAUUCAAAUUGUCCUGGAAACAUUUGAUUGUUCGGUAGUAGCUUCCCAAGGGACUCUAGAGAAAACCCCUCGAGGGCCAUUCUCCCUUCUGACUUCUAUUCACACUAACUUCUCUCUUUUGACUUCUGCAAAAAACACAAGAAGAGAGGAUUCUUAGAGCAGAAAACCUAAGACCAGAAAUGCCUUCAUCUUCCCGUGGAAAGUGUUCCUAAGAUAGGCCCGAAAGAAAGGACUGAGCUGCAGGUUACAACCUGCAGCCCAAGAACUCAGGGGUUUCACCAGGUGAAACUGGCGUGCUGCCUCACCACCACCUGGGGGGUGUGGGCUCAAGCUCCAACAGGAGACAGGGAAAGUCACUGGGCUCUCUCUCUUUUCAAAUCCUCAGAGGAAAGAGGAAAAGAACUUAGUAAAUAAAGCACUUCCUUGGACCUUUGUUUUGUAAAGC
rnacentral:lncRNA from 12 species